GACAGAGGCCCCAAGCGUUAUGCGGAAUCACUGGGCUUAAAGCGUGUGUAGGCGGUUCGUUAAGUGUCUUGUGAAAUCCCACGGCUCACCCGUGGAACUGCUGGGCAUACUGGCGAUCUUGGGCCAACUAGGGGCAGCCGGAACAAGCGGUGGAGCGGUGAAAUGCGUAGAUAUCGCUUGGAACGCCAAUGGUGAAAACAGCAGGCUGGGGGUGUGCUGACGCUGAGACGCGAAAGCCAGGGGAGCAAACGGG
rnacentral:rRNA from 1 species